AAUAACAUGAGCACCACCACAGUUGCCACAUGUGGAGCAGGAUCUGCUUACCCUUCCGGAUGACCUGAGAUCGACCCAGUUUUUUUUCGGGUUAGUGUUGCUUAGUCUGUAUUUUCUAUGUUGUGUUUUUUGUACUAUUGUUUGACUAUUUGUUUUUUUUUUUUCCUUUUGAGUCAUGGCAUUGUCAGUUUAUUUUCGAUCUAUGAAUUUGAAUGUUUCCCACCUCUUUUAUACAAUAAUGGUCUAAAAAUGAAGAAUAAAGAAAUGAAUCUUCCUAAGAUUAUCA
rnacentral:lncRNA from 1 species